GGAAAUAGCGUUUAAUGGUGUAGGUUUAGCAGGUAGAAUGCAAAAGGAACAUGAAAGUCUUUUAGCCUGGUGUGGAUGUUACUGUCCAUAACCCAAAAACCAGGAUAGUUUUAUUUCAAGAACCUUAAGAAAUCACAUUUGACUGUGUGAAUGGCACCUUAUAGGAACAGAAUCUUGCAUGAGGAUUCUUGUUACAUGGUGUUACUGAUACAUAUGGCAAUUCAGAAGUGGGGAGAAAUCUAACUAGGGACAUAGUGCUCCCUCGUUAGCGGCCAUGAGAAAACAAACAUAGAAGUAGUAAGGAUGGCUUGACAGCCAGUUUGGUACAGCCCAACUUGACCCCUAUAUUUAUGCAGGAAAAAAUAUUGACCUUAAAUGUCUCCUCAUACUAGAUGGUACAAAUUAAAAUAUGUAGCUUCAAUCUGAACAAGGAGUGGAGAAGCUAGUAAGCCACAUGCCAACACCACCAAGUGUUUCAGAUUUGGGCCCAUUCUGCAUCAGGUUGUUUCCACUGGUCCGCGCUGUGUUAGGUUCUUCACUGAAGCACCUGACUAUUGAGAAAGCCUGUUAAAAAACUACUUCCACUUAUUAAAUAAAAAAGGACUACAUUUAAAAAAAAAAAAAAAAAAGGAGUUGACAGAUUUAUUUUAGGGGUAGAGGCCCUGAUUAUUCAGAAGAUUCCAUUAUUAGCAGACUCACUUAUAAACCUCAUCAGUCAAGAGAAUGUUCUGCAGCUGUUUUCCAAGAGUGUCAUGCUUACACAUGGGAUUCACUUUAUUUACCAGAAAGCCAGCUCAUGUGUAGCUGAAUUCUAAAGCAAUUUUUGCAGGUGCACACUUUGUACUGGGAAGUUAACACUUAAGCUGUUAAGCAUCAGUUUCCACAGCGCUCUCCCCUUCAGAUUAUCCACACUUAAGAAAUAAAAUGAAGCAACUUAUCCCUUAGUGCCCUGUACCCUCUUGCACUGUUGCUUGGCAGAGGCAAUCAUCAAUAUGGUUAAAACUCUCUGCCUUUCACUACUAACUGAAAAAUCCCUUCUCAUGGGAAACGCAAGGAGUUUGCGCUACUUAUUUGAAAGUUUAAGAGUCGAUGCAAAAAUGAGGCUACCAGAAUUGGGCCCUUUUGCCUCCACAAGAGCAGAUAGUGCAAAGUCAGAAGGAACACCCUAGGCAAAAAAAAAAAAAAAAAUCUCACAUCUUCUGACUCACCAAGGUUUGGUUUCAGAUGAGUCUUGUUCUAUGGCAGUUUGACUGUUUUUGGCUAUUAGGCUUUUUUGUUGCGAAUGGUUAAGACUAACCUCCAGCUAGUUCUCAAAAGCCAAUGCCUGCUGGAAGAUGCAGUAAUCCUUUAAUCCAACAAUUAUUUAGCAUUUGAGACUUUUGCUCCCCCUAUAGAUAGGACAGCAGAAUGGCCAGAAUUCUUUUCACCUUAGGUAAGAGUCUAGUCCACUGUGAUAGUUUACACAUGUUGCCUCAAGCUGAGGACUCCUUCCACAUAACUGUCUGGGGGCUUCUUUAAAGUGCAUCUGGACUGGAGUUAUGCUUAUCAUCUCUUCCCUCCACAAAAUGGACUCUUACCAGAUCACUGACCCCAAUAUUUUAUAAGAGGGGCUAAACUUCUACAACAGAAGUGGGCUGCAAAAAAAAAAAAAAAAAGUUGGUUUUGGAGGAAGCCUUGUGAGCUGAAGGGACGCGGACACUUCACAUUAGUGCACUCUCACCACCAGCGUACACAUAAAAUCCCACCUUUUUAUUAUGGCAUAUGGUUCUGGUUUGGAUGUGUCAAUACCACACAAGUGUGACAAAAAAAGGGAAAAAGACAUAGCGACGCUGAAAUAGUUACAGAGUCAUGCUAUUAGCAACACAGGUUGAUAUGAUGGAUUUCCAAGAUACAAAAUUGUUUGGGGGGGGAGGGGUUUCCUACACUGAAGUAACUUUACAAUAUUUUGUGAACUCGCUUUUUUUCCAGUAGAGAAAAAAAUGUAAAAUAUGCUGAGAACAACUACAAGCAGGAAUCGUUUUAAUGGUUAACAGGAAAAAAAAAAAGCUGCAACUUUGUUCUAUAACAGCAUCUAUUAAACACAUGUAAUGAGAGGUCAGCAACUAUACAGAAGAAAGAGUAGAUAUUUCACCACAGGAGUCUGAAGUUGGGGCAGGAAAGGGAACUCUGGAAUUGGAUGGUUUUAUUUGGUCACAAAGUUUGAGCUGAGUGUUUAAAAUGGGGCAUCCUUAAAGAUGCAGCACUCCUAUUCAAAACAAUAAAGAGACACUUCUGAUAGACUAGAACCUACCGGUCUGCAAAAAAAAUAAAAAAAAUAAAAAUUAGACAUUUUUAAAAAA